rnacentral:ncRNA from 1 species
UAGGCGGGUUCCGAAAAGCCAGAAAGAGAGUAGGAG